UUUCUUUUGGCAGCACAUAUUCUAAAACUGAAAUGAUAUGGAGAAUAAUAGCACAGCCACUAUGUAAGGACAUCAUAAAAAUUCAUGAAGAGUUCCAGAUAGAU